AACGUAGGUGGCGAGCGUUAUCCGGAUUUACUGGGCGUAAAGGGUGUGCAGGCGGGGGUCCAAGUGGUGUAUGAAAUCGCCCGGCUUAACCGGGCUAGGUUAUGCCAGACUGGACUUCUAGAGUGCGAGAGAGGGACGUGGAAUUCCGGGUGUAGUGGUGAAAUGCGUAGAGAUCCGGAGGAACCCCAGAGGCGAAGGCGGCGUCCUGGCUCGCAACUGACGCUCAGACACGACAGCAUGGGGAGCGAACGGG
rnacentral:rRNA from 1 species